rnacentral:rRNA from 1 species
UACGUGGGGUCCAAGCGUUAAUCGGAAUUACUGGGCGUAAAGCGUGCGCAGGUGGUUUGUUAAGCACGAUGUGAAAUCCCCGAGCUCAACUUGGGAAUUGCAUUGUGAACUGGCUAACUAGAGUACGGCAGAGGGGGGUGGAAUUCCACGUGUAGCAGUGAAAUGCGUAGAGAUGUGGAGGAACACCGAUGGCGAAGGCAACCCCCUGGGCUGAUACUGACACUCAUGCACGAAAGCGUGGGGAGCAAACAGGAUUAGAUACCCUGGUAGUCCACGCCCUAAACGAUGUCAACUAGUUGUUGGGCUUUUCGGAGCUUAGUAACGCAGCUAACGCGUGAAGUUGACCGCCUGGGGAGUACGGUCGCAAGACUAAA